AGUGAACGCUGGCGGUAGGCCUAACACAUGCCAGUCGAACGGCAGCACAGUAAGAGCUUGCUCUUACGGGUGGCGAGUGGCGGACGGGUGAGGAAUAAAUCGGAAUCUACUUUUUCGUGGGGGAUAACGUAGGGAAACUUACGCUAAUACCGCAUACGACCUACGGGUGAAAGCAGGGGAUCUUCGGACCUUGCGCGAUUGAAUGAGCCGAUGUCGGAUUAGCUAGUUGGCGGGGUAAAGGCCCACCAAGGCGACGAUCCGUAGCUGGUCUGAGAGGAUGAUCAGCCACACUGGAACUGAGACACGGUCCAGACUCCUACGGGAGGCAGCAGUGUGGAAUAUUGGACAAUGGGCGCAAGCCUGAUCCAGCCAUACUGCGUGGGUGAAGAAGGCCUUCGGGUUGUAAAGCCCUUUUGUUGGGAAAGAAAAGCAGCAGGUUAAUACCCCGCUGUUCUGACGGUACCCAAAGAAUAAGCACCGGCUAACUUCGUG
rnacentral:rRNA from 1 species